UACGAGGGGGGCAAAUGUUGUUCGGAAUCACUGGGCGUAAAGGGAGCGUAGGCGGGUUCUUAAGUAAGGUGUUUAAUCCCGGGGCCCAACCCCGGACCGGCACUUUAAACUGGGAAUCUUGAAUAGUGGAGAGGUCAGUGGAAUUGGGGGUGUAGCGGUGGAAUGCGUAGAGAUCCCCAAGAACACCAGUUGCGAAGGCGGCUGACUGGACACAUAUUGACGCUGAGGCUCGAAGGCAUGGGGAGCAAACAGG
rnacentral:rRNA from 1 species